AUUGAACGCUGGCGGCAUGCUCUACACAUGCAAGUCGAACGGUAACAGGCCGCAAGGUGCUGACGAGUGGCGCACGGGUGAGUAAUGCAUCGGAACGUGCCCAGUCGUGGGGGAUAACUACUCGAAAGAGUAGCUAAUACCACAUACGAUCUAUGGCUGAAAGCGGGGGACCGUAAGGCCUCGCGCGAUUGGAGCGGCCGAUGUCAGAUUAGGUAGUUGGUGGGGUAAAGGCUCACCAAGCCAACGAUCUGUAGCUGGUCUGAGAGGACGACCAGCCACACUGGGACUGAGACACGGCCCAGACUCCUACGGGAGGCAGCAGUGGGGAAUGUUGGACAAUGGGCGCAAGCCUGAUCCAGCAAUGCCGCGUGCAGGAAGAAGGCCUUCGGGUUGUAAACUGCUUUUGUACGGAACGAAACGGCUCUGGUUAAUACCCGGGGCUAAUGACGGUACCGUAAGAAUAAGCACCGGCUAACUACGUG
rnacentral:rRNA from 1 species